UAAUCGGAAUUACUGGGCGUAAAGCGUGCGCAGGCGGCUUUGCAAGACAGAGGUGAAAUCCCCGGGCUCAACCUGGGAACUGCCUUUGUGACUGCAAGGCUAGAGUACGGCAGAGGGGGAUGGAAUUCCGCGUGUAGCAGUGAAAUGCGUAGAUAUGCGGAGGAACACCGAUGGCGAAGGCAAUCCCCUGGGCCUGUACUGACGCUCAUGCACGAAAGCGUGGGGAGCAAACAGGAUUAGAUACCCUGGUAGUCAAGGGCG
rnacentral:rRNA from 1 species